CCUACGGGAGGCAGCAGUGAGGAAUAUUGGUCAAUGGGCGCGAGCCUGAACCAGCCAAGUCGCGUGAGGGAUGACGGCCCUACGGGUUGUAAACCUCUGUCAGCAGGGAAUAACGGUCACUGUGCUAAUCAGCAGUGAAUUGACGGUACCUGCAAAGGAAGCACCGGCUAACUCCGUGCCAGCAGCCGCGGUAAUACGGAGGGUGCGAGCGUUAAUCGGAAUUACUGGGCGUAAAGCGCGCGUAGGCGGUAUGUUAAGUCAAGGGUGAAAUCCCCGCGCUCAACGUGGGAACUGCCAUUGAAACUGGCAAACUGGAGUGUGUGAGAGGAUAGUGGAAUUCCAGGUGUAGGAGUGAAAUCCGUAGAUAUCUGGAGGAACAUCAGUGGCGAAGGCGACUAUCGGGCACAUAACUGACGCUGAGGAGCGAAAGCGUGGGUAGCAAACAGGAUUAGAUACCCUGGUUGUC
rnacentral:rRNA from 1 species